UACUGCAUCACUAGCACGUCAUAUUCUUGUUCAUUUAUUGCAGCUAAGAAGUGCCAUAAGCAACACUUCAUACCUGUAUAAUUCAUUAGUUGCCAUAGCUGAGGUAAAUAUUUAACUGCUAGAAAAGACAAACUAUGUUUGCCAGGAUAAACGCAUGCAGUAACUGAACUGCAGCAGAGCUUGUGAUAGCGGCUCUGCUGUAAUUAUCAAGUGUUUGAUGUGCGAAGAUUAUACAGAGAUUCGAUGAAUGAAGUUGUUACUCAUUGUGUCUUUACCACCUGCUCAUGUUUGAGGUACAGUAGUUGGCUGCAAAGUUCCUGUUAUUGCAGGUCUGUAUUACAGAAAAACCUUCCACUUUCGGCUCUAAAAACCCACCACAAAGCACCGUCCACUCUGCAAAAGCAAUAGAGUAAAUGUAACAGUCACCUCUUUAAAAACCCAGCUCUGAAACAGUAGGGAAGUGGGGUGAAUUCUCAUACUGCUCUGCUUUGUAAGUGCUGAAAUUACAUCUAAGUACUACUCAAUGAUCACCGUUCUGUCAGAACAUCAAAGACAAUGUACUAAACGGCUCCCCAUUGCCAGAAACCCCAACUGAAGCUAUGAUACCUACAGCUUAAUCCUGUAACUACUGGUUGCAGUCCUAGUUUGGUACAAAAGCCCAUGGCAAUGAAAGUAAUUGGAGAUCAUAAUGGUGUUUCAUUUGCAGAAUAAGGUGACAUGGGGACUGCCCGUAAUCAUUGGAUGCUUGUGUUUUCACUGAAAGUCCUUUCUGAUGCUGCUCUGUAUUAGUUUGUUUUUUUUUCCAUCAGUACCACAAGAAUGAAGUACUGUAGAAAUUAGGCCCAACGUGCUGCUGUAGUAAAUGGGGACUAAUACUGAAACUCAAAUCAGUUCUAGAGUUGCUCUAACUUUAUAAAAUGUGAAGCCCUAUAAUAGUGAAGCAAGAGGGGCUUAAUUUAAAACUACAAACGUGACUGAAGCACUGAGUAAAGCAGCUUCUUCUUUAGUCUUAGAUGGGAAAGCAAUUAAAGUGGAACAAGCACCAAGCCAUCCUUUGAAAGUUGUGGGGGCGUGGGCCACCACCCCCUCCACGAAGCAGGGGUCCUCCCAGGGGCCUUAGAGGUGGAAGAGGCGGCAGUGGCGCAAGAGGACCACCUUCAAGAGGGAGUCACUUGGGAUCUUCCCGAGGGCCACUUCCCAUGAAGAGAGGUCCACCUCCACGAAGUGGAGGCCCUCCACCUAAAAGAUCUGCACCUUCAGGACCAGUGCGUAGCAGUAGUAUGGGAGGAAGAGCUCCUGUGUCACGUGGAAGAGACAGUUAUGGUGGUCCUCCACGCAGAGAGCCGAUGCCCUCACGAAGAGACGUUUACAUGUCUCCAAGAGAUGACGGCUACAGCACUAAGGAUGGUUACUCAAGCAGAGAUUAUCCCAGCUCCAGGGAUACGCGGGACUAUGCACCACCUCCUCGAGACUACGCGUACCGUGAUUACGGUCACUCCAGUUCACGAGAUGAAUACCCCUCUAGGGGAUAUAGUCUUUCCUCCUAUAGUGAUCGUGAUGGAUACGGUGGUGGGCGUGACAGAGACUACUCUGAUCAUCCAAGUGGAGGCUCCUACAGAGAUUCAUAUGACAGUUAUGGGUGAUAACUUCUAGAAGAUAAUCACUGAAGUAAUGCUGGUUCAUCUGUGCUGAUUGCAGAGAUGAUGGUGCCUGUACCAAAGUAUAAGUUACAGUGACCAGAAGAAGGCAGUGCAGCAGUGGGUAUGCAGUGAAAAAUGGAAGGAUAACAAAACACAACUGUGAAAGCUUGGCUUUUGAGUGUGGUGUUCCCCACUAUUUGUUUUAGUGGGCUGUGUUACCAUUCAGAGUUGCCUUUGAAAGUAGCACUACUAAUUUCUUGGAUAUAAAAACAUCAAGUGGAGGUCAUUUGCUGUCUGCCAGCAGCAGUCAGUAGAUGGGCUUCCCUAGAUCCUGCAGCAGAAAAAUGCUCUGAGGUUGCUCUUUAUGUGGGGUGAUUUCUGUUUAUGCUGGGGGGAGAAAGCAAGUUACAUAAAAGUGAGGUUUAGUCCUCUAAAAGGCAGAGAACUAAGUUAUUACAAAUUCUUCACCAAGAAACUGUAAGAAGUUUUAUUAUAUUGUUACAUGUCAUUGUCCAGGCCUUCUGGAUGAGAGGAGGGAAGUGUUGAUGUACUGAGAUGAUAUCAGUGAUAAAUCCCCAGAAUAUUGUGUGUUCUUGCAUGUACUGGCUUCUUGCAAACCUCCAGACAGCACUGCAUCUCUUCACUAGAUGCUGUCUUCAAAACUUGGUCUCGGUUUUGAUGCAUUUUUAUCUUAUAUAUGUGUUCAUGUGCCAGUGGAUGUGAGAGGAAUCCUCAGGCACUGCUAUUCCAUGCAGAAAACUUAAUUUCACAUUGGUUGAAAUACUUAACAGUCACGGCUAAUAAAGUUUAUACUGUGAGACAUAAACUGCUCUCAUUUAAACCACUAACACUCAGUUUAUAAUGCGUAGUUAAAGCAUGCCUAUCUUAAGGGGUUCAAAACUAUUUGUGGGUAUUGGAAUAAGAGUAUUCCUUCAACCAUCAGUUGUGGACUGCAGAUUGUAGGAGUAAGUGUAUGUGUAUGUAGCAGAUGGGUAGAAUUGCAGUAUUUCCCAGGACUAAUAAAUUUACUGUUAAAGAAACUAUGGGU